CCUACGGGAGACAGCAGUGAGGAAUAUUGGUCAAUGGACGAGAGUCUGAACCAGCCAAGUAGCGUGAAGGAUGACUGCCCUAUGGGUUGUAAACUUCUUUUAUAUGGGAAUAAAAUGUUCCACGUGUGGGAUUUUGUAUGUACCAUAUGAAUAAGGAUCGGCUAACUCCGUGCCAGCAGCCGCGGUAAUACGGAGGAUCCGAGCGUUAUCCGGAUUUAUUGGGUUUAAAGGGAGCGUAGGGGGAUUGUUAAGUCAGUUGUGAAAGUUUGCGGCUCAACCGUAAAAUUGCAGUUGAAACUGGCAGUCUUGAGUACAGUAGAGGUGGGCGGAAUUCGUGGUGUAGCGGUGAAAUGCUUAGAUAUCACGAAGAACUCCGAUUGCGAAGGCAGUUCACUGGACUGCAACUGACACUGAGGCUCGAAAGUGUGGGUAUCAAACAGGAUUAGAUACCCCAGUAGUC
rnacentral:rRNA from 1 species